GUGGGGAAUCUUCCGCAAUGGACGAAAGUCUGACGGAGCAACGCCGCGUGAGUGAUGAAGGUCUUCGGAUUGUAAAGCUCUGUUAAUCGGGACGAAAGAGCCUAGUGUGAAUAAUGCUAGGAAGUGACGGUACCGGAAUAGAAAGCCACGGCUAACUACGUGCCAGCAGCCGCGGUAAUACGUAGGUGGCAAGCGUUGUCCGGAAUUAUUGGGCGUAAAGCGCGCGCAGGCGGAUCUGCCAGUCUGUCUUAAAAGUUCGGGGCUUAACCCCGUGAUGGGAUGGAAACUACAGAUCUAGAGUAUCGGAGAGGAAAGUGGAAUUCCUAGUGUAGCGGUGAAAUGCGUAGAUAUUAGGAAGAACACCAGUGGCGAAGGCGACUUUCUGGACGAAAACUGACGCUGAGGCGCGAAAGCCAGGGGAGCGAACGGGAUUAGAAACCCCGGUAGUCC
rnacentral:rRNA from 1 species